rnacentral:lncRNA from 1 species
ACCCGACUGUGCAGCUGAUCCUACCCUGGGAGCCCGGCUCGGCUCAGCUAAGCUCGGCUCAGCCUGACUGUGCAGCUGUUCCUACUCUGGGAGCCCGGCUCAGCUCGGCUCAGCUCGGCUCAGCUCAGCUCAACUGUGCAGCUGUUCCUACCCCGGAGCUCGGCUCAGCUAAGCUCGGCUCAGCCCGACUGUGCAGCAUUCCUUCCCCGGGAGCCCGCGCUCGGCUCAGCUCGGCUCAGCUAAGCUCGGCUCAGCCCGACUGUGCAGCUGUCCUACCCUGGGAGCCCGGCUCGGCUCAGCUAAGCUCGGCUCAGCCCGACUGUGCAGCAUUCCUUCUGGGAGCCCGGCCCGGCUCAGCCCGGCUUGGCUCAGCUCGGCUCAGCUCAGCUCAACUGUGCAGCAUUCCUUCCCCGGGAGCCCGGCUCGGCUCAGCUAAGCUCGGCUCAGCCCGAGCUGUGCAGCUCGAUCAGCUAGCCCUGGGAGCCCGGCUCGGCUCAGCUAAGCUCGGCUCAGCCCGACUGUGCAGCUGAUCCUACCCUGGGAGCCGGCUCGGCUCAGCUCGGCUCGCUCAGCUCGGCUCAGCUAAGCUCGGCUCAGCCCAGCUGUGCAGGGAGCUCACUGCAGAAUGUGGCAGCUCUGUCCUAACCCCCCCAAAACGCUCGGUUGUGCCGGGGGAUUGGGUUUGUGAGAGUUUCUGCUCCUGUGCCGGAGCCUCGCGGAUGCGGGGGCUCCUCGCGCCUCUCCCGGGCUGUAAAUACUCACUGAGAACUUUAACCCAGCGCUUUGAGGCGAUGGUUUUAAAUUGGGCAGCGCUUUGUGGGAGUUUGGGGUGCGGUUGUGCCGCCCCUGCAGAGUGGAAUUUGCAAUGUGUUUAAGGUAAAUAAAUAAAACAGCUUUCAGAUUGUUUCAGACAGAUCCCGGAGCCGAGUGCUCCCCGCGGGUAUCGCGGUUCUUUCUUUCUUUCUUUCUUUCUGCCAUGAUUGAAAUUUGGAAAAUGCUGCUGUUGACCCCAUUUCCCUGCGGGGUGACAAAGGUGACGGGAAUCGCUCUGCUGCUGUGCACGGUGGCUAAAGGAUGAUUUGUGCUUUUCCAGGUUUCCAGAUUGGUUUUUUUCCAGAUUUCUAGAUCUGUGUUUUUCCAGAUUUCCAGGUUUGCUUUUUCCAGGUUUCCAGAUUGGGUUUUUUUCCAGGUUUCCAGAUUUGCUUUUUCCAGAUGGGUUUUUCCAGGUUUCUGAGCGGAAGGCAGGUUUUAAGCCUGGUUAUGCUAGAACUAAUAGAAAAUUAAAUGGGUUGAGGUUGAUUUAAUGCCUGGCGGGGACCUCGUGCUGUGAGCGUGGCUGGGGAAUCUGCACAAUUGCUGAUUUUAAAUAAAUAAAUAAAUGAGGUUCUU